rfam:Homo sapiens chromosome 6, GRCh38 reference primary assembly.
CCAAAGGCUCUUUUCAGAGCCACCCACUUAUUCCAACGAAAGUAG